rnacentral:rRNA from 1 species
UAAUACAGAGGUCUCAAGCGUUGUUCGGAUUCAUUGGGCGUAAAGGGCGCGUAGGCGGUGAAGUAAGUCUGGUGUGAAAUCUAGGAGCUUAACUCCUAAACUGCACUGGAUACUGUUUUGCUUGAGGACUGGAGAGGAGAUUGGAAUUCACGGUGUAGCAGUGAAAUGCGUAGAUAUCGUGAGGAAGACCAGUGGCGAAGGCGGAUCUCUGGACAGUUCCUGACGCUGAGGCGCGAAGGCCAGGGGAGCAAAUGGGAUUAGAUACCCCAGUAGUCCUGGCAGUAAACGGUGCACGUUUGGUGUGCGCGGAUUCGACCCCGUGCGUGCCGGAGCUAACGCGUUAAACGUGCCGCCUGAGGAGUACGGUCGCAAGAUUA